CUUUGACCUCAACUCAGUCGUGAUUACCCGCUGAAUUUAAGCAUAUAACUAAGCGGAGGAAAAGAAACUAACGAGGAUUUCCUUAGUAACGGCGAGUGAAAAGGAAAAAGCCCAACGCUGAAUCCAAUAGAUAUUUGUCUAUAUGGAAAUGUAGCGUAUAGGUGUAACUAUCCGUAACAUAUUUUUACACCCAAAGUCCCCUUGAGCGGGGCUACAGUCCAUAGAAGGUGCUAGACCUGUACGGGUGAAAAAAGUUACGGUAGGUUAUUCCUUGGAGUCGGGUUGUUUGAGAUUGCAGCCCAAAGAGGGUGGUAAACCUCAUCUAAGGCUAAAUACGACCACGAGACCGAUAGCAAACAAGUACCGUGAGGGAAAGUUGCAAAGAACUUUGAAGAGAGAGUUCAAGAGGGCGUGAAACCGCUGAGAUGGAAACGGAUAGAGUUAACGAAACUUAUCGGUAUUCAACCAAUCAAUUUAGCAAUCUUAAUUGAUUUAUUAUUCAUUAAUAUUUUUUUAUUAAUGAAUAAAAUGAUAUUUAAGAUAUGAAUGCUAAAUUUAUAAUAUAAUGAUUGGUGUAUUUAUCGAUGGUAUGCAUCGAGAGCUUCGUUUUAGCAUAUUAAUAUAGCUAAUUUAGUGGAUCAAUUAUUUCAAUUGAUAAUUGAAACCCUAAAUCUAUUGAAAUAUGUCUUAAAUGAAGUUUUAAUCCCAUAUGUGUAACUUUCACUUGAAAUAAUAGUGACAUGCAUCGAUUAUAAUUUUUGCUAAUUACAUUUACAUGUGGUCGCAUGCGACUUUAUCGGUAAAUGUUGAUGAAAUAAUUGGUAAUAUUAUAAUAUUGUAUGCAUUAUUAAAAGUUACAUCUCGAUGUGAACGUUAAUCACCUAUCUGACCCGUCUUGAAACACGGACCAAGGAGUCUAGCAUAUACGCAAGUUAUUGGGUAGUAAACCUGAUUAUAAAAGCAUAAUGAAAGUAAAGAUUAUCUUUGGUAUAAUUGAUAUGUGAUCUAUAUAUUAUAUGUAUAUGUAAAAGUAUGCAUAUAUUAUAUAUAGCGUAACAUAACCCCGUUCAUAUUGCAUGCAAUAGGGCGGAGGUAGAGCGUAUAUGCUGGGACCCGAAAGAUGGUGAACUAUACCUGAGCAGGAUGAAGCCAGAGGAAACUCUGGUGGAGGUCCGAAGCGAUUCUGACGUGCAAAUCGAUCGUCUGACUUUGGUAUAGGGGCGAAAGACUAAUCGAACUAUCUAGUAGCUGGUUCCCUCUGAAGUUUCCCUCAGGAUAGCUGGAGUACGUAAUGAAGCAGUUAUAUUCGGUAAAGCGAAUGAUUAGAGGAAUUGUGGGACGAAACGUCUUCAACCUAUUCUCAAACUUUCAAUGAGUAUGACGUCUUGCUUGCUUAAAUGAAGCGUAGACAUUGAAUGUGUGCUCCAAGUGGGCCAUUUUUGGUAAGCAGAACUGGCGCUGUGGGAUGAACCAAACGUUGAGUUAAAGUGCCAAACUUUCCGCUCAUGAGACCCCAUGAAAGGCGUUGGUUGAUAUAGACAGCAGGACGGUGGCCAUGGAAGUUGGAAACCGCUAAGGAGUGUGUAACAACUCACCUGCCGAAUCAACUAGCCCUGAAAAUGGAUGGCGCUUGAGCGGGAGACUUAUACUCAACCGUUGCAUGGCUUGUGUUAAAAAAUUUGAAAAAAAGAAAGAAAGAAAUGGGAAACCUGGCCGCAACGAGUAAGAGGGUCGCAAUGGUUAGCGUUGAAGACUUUGGGCGUAGGCCCAGUUGGAGCUUCCAUUGGUGCAGAUCUUGGUGGUAGUAGCAAAUAUUCAAGUGAGAUCCUUGAAGACUGAAGUGGAGAAGGGUUCCACGUGAACAGCAGUUGAAUGUGGGUCAGUCGAUCCUAAGAUAUUGGCUAAUGCCGUUUUUAAUAAAAUAGAGGAAUGGAGGUGUAAUCCAUCUGAUAAAUCGAAAGGGAAACGGGUUAAUAUUCCCGUACCUGGACACGGAGAUAAAUGCUCAUCGUGAGGAUUUAGCGCGGUAACGCAAAUGAACUCGGAAACAUUGAGGAAAGCCCGAGCCAGAGUUCUCUUUUCUGGUUAAGGAACGGACUCCCUGGAAUCGGUUCAGCCGGAGAUAGGGAUGUUGUUUCCGUAAAGCGCCACGGUUCCUGUGGUGUCUCGUGCGCUUUGUUCGAUCCAUGAAAAUCCGAGGGAGGCUAUUUGAAUUUCGUGCCAGAUCGUACCCAUAUCCGCAGCAGGUCUCCAAGGUGAACAGCCUCUAGUCGAUAGAAUAAUGUAGGUAAGGGAAGUCGGCAAAUUAGAUCCGUAACUUCGGGAUAAGGAUUGGCUCUAAGGACUGGGCCGGUCGGGCUGUAAUGUGAAGUGAGUACGGUUUGAUCCAUGCAGUGUAACAUUAAUGAAUCAUGCAUUCAUUGAUGAAACUCGGCUAGUGUUCGAACUGUCUUAUGGACCGUUACAGCUGCGUAUCACAUUUGCUUUUUUUCAACAAAGUGAAUGUUUAUUGAUACUUCGGCCGGCGUUAAACAGUCAACUUAGAACUGGCACGGACUCGGGGAAUCCGACUGUCUAAUUAAAACAGAGGAGACAGAUGGCCCUUGCGGGCGUUGACUGUCUCUGAUUUCUGCCCAGUGCUCUGAAUGUAAAAGUGAAGAAAUUCAACCAAGCGCGGGUAAACGGCGGGAGUAACUAUGACUCUCUUAAGGUAGCCAAAUGCCUCGUCAUCUAAUUCGUGACGCGCAUGAAUGGAUUAACGAGAUUCCCACUGUCCCUAUCUACUAUCUAGCGAAACCACAGCCAAGGGAACGGGCUUGGCAAACACAGCGGGGAAAGAAGACCCUGUUGAGCUUGACUCUAGUCCGACUCUGUGAAGAGUCAUGAGAGGUGUAGCAUAAGUGGGAGGUUUUUGUAUUCUUGUACAAAUACCAACAGUGAAAUACCACUACUUUCAUCGAUUCUUUACUUAUUCGGUAAAACGAGAAUUGAAGCAUUAUAUGUGUUUCGAAAUUUUUGAUUUAAGUUAAACUACUCGGUGGUUUAACGACUCGCACCGAAGACAGUGUCAGGCGGGGAGUUUGACUGGGGCGGUACAUCUGUCAAAACGUAACGCAGGUGUCCUAAGGCUAGCUCAGAGAGGACGGAAACCUCUCGUAGAGUAAAAGGGCAAAAGCUCGCUUGAUCUUGAUUUCCAGUACGAAUACAGACCGCGAAAGCGUGGCCUAUCGAUCCUUUUGAAUUUCUUAGAAGGUUUCUAGCAAGAGGUGUCAGAAAAGUUACCACAGGGAUAACUGGCUUGUGGCAGCCAAGCGUCCAUAGCGACGUUGCUUUU
rnacentral:rRNA from 1 species